rnacentral:rRNA from 1 species
UACAGAGGUCUCAAGCGUUGUUCGGAUUCAUUGGGCGUAAAGGGUGCGUAGGUGGCGGGGUAAGUCUGGUGUGAAAUCUCGGAGCUCAACUCCGAAACUGCACUGGAUACUGCCUUGCUUGAGUAUUGGAGAGGAGAUUGGAAUUUACGGUGUAGCAGUGAAAUGCGUAGAUAUCGUAAGGAAGACCAGUGGCGAAGGCGGCUCACUGGACCACAACUGACGCUGAGGCGCGAAAGCUAGGGGAGCAAACAGG